rnacentral:rRNA from 1 species
AGGACGAACGCUGGCGGCGUGCUUAACACAUGCAAGUCGAGCGGUAAGGCACUUCGGUGUACACGAGCGGCGAACGGGUGAGUAACACGUGAGUAAUCUGCCCUUCACUCUGGGAUAAGCACUCGAAAGGGUGUCUAAUACCGGAUACGACGGACUGCCGCAUGGUGUGUUCGUGGAAACUUUUUUGGGUGGGGGAUGUGCUCGCGGCCUAUCAGCUUGUUGGUGAGGUAAUGGCUCACCAAGGCGUCGACGGGUA